rnacentral:rRNA from 1 species
GAUCCUGGCUCAGAAUCAACGCUGGCGGCGUGCCUAACACAUGCAAGUCGAACGCGAGAGGGGAGCAAUCCCUGAUCGAGUGGCAAACGGGUGAGUAACACGUGGGUGACCUACCUUCGAGUGGGGGAUAACGUCCCGAAAGGGACGCUAAUACCGCAUGACAUCCUGCUUUUGGACAAGCGGACAUUAAAGCUGGGGAUCGCAAGACCUGGCGCUUGAAGAGGGGCCCGCGCCUGAUUAGCUAGUUGGUGAGGUAACGGCUCACCAAGGCGACGAUCAGUAUCCGGCCUGAGAGGGCGGACGGACACACUGGGACUGAGACACGGCCCAGACUCCUACGGGAGGCAGCAGUGGGGAAUUGUUCGCAAUGGGCGCAAGCCUGACGACGCAACGCCGCGUGGAGGACGAAGAUCUUCGGGUCGUAAACUCCUGUCGAGCGGGAAGAACGCUUUCCGGGUGAAUAAUCCGGGAAAUUGACGGUACCGCUAAAGGAAGCCCCGGCUAACUCCGUGCCAGCAGCCGCGGUAAUACGGGGGGGGCAAGCGUUGUUCGGAAUUACUGGGCGUAAAGGGCUCGUAGGCGGCCAACUAAGUCGGAUGUGAAAUCCCCAGGCUCAACUUGGGAACUGCAUCCGAUACUGGAUGGCUUGAAUUCGGGAGAGGGAUGCAGAAUUCCAGGUGUAGCGGUGAA